ACUGCUCAGUAACACGUGGACAACCUACCCUAUGGAGGGGGAUAACCCCGGGAAACUGGGAUAAUACCCCAUAGACUAUGGAUGCUGGAAUGCUUUGUAGUUGAAAGGUCCGCCGCCAUAGGAUGGGUCUGCGGCCGAUUAGGUUGUUGUUGGGGUAACGGCCCAACAAGCCUGUAAUCGGUACGGGUUGUGGGAGCAAGAGCCCGGAGAUGGAUUCUGAGACACGAAAUCCAGGCCCUACGGGGCGCAGCAGGCGCGAAAACUUUACAAUGCGGGAAACCGUGAUAAGGGAACUCCGAGUGCCCGUAAAAUCGGGCUGUCCAUCUGUUUAAAUAACAGGUGAAGAAAGGGCCGGGCAAGACCGGUGCCAGCCGCCGCGGUAAUACCGGCGGCUCGAGUGGUGGCCACUAUUACUGGGCUUAAAGCGUUCGUAGCUGGUCUGUUAAGUCUCUGGGGAAAUCUACUGGCUUAACCAAUAGGCGUUUCAGGGAUACUGGCAGACUAGGGACCGGGAGAGGUGAGGGGUACUCCAGGGGUAGGAGUGAAAUCCUGUAAUCCUUGGGGGACCACCUGUGGCGAAGGCGCCUCACCAGAACGGCUCCGACAGCGAGGGACGAAAGCUGGGGGAGCAAACCGGAUUAGAUACCCGGGUAGUCCCAGCCGUAAACGAUGCGCGUUAGGUGUAUCGGUGACCACGAGUCACCGAGGUGCCGAAGAGAAAUCGUGAAACGUGCCGCCUGGGAAGUACGGUCGCAAGGCUGAAACUUAAAGGAAUUGGCGGGGGAGCAC
rnacentral:rRNA from 1 species